rnacentral:rRNA from 1 species
GUAUGCGAUCAUAUUAGUACGUAUGCAUCGAAUCCCAUCGGAACUUCGAAGUUAAGCGUGCUUUAGCGAGAAUGGUACUAAGACGAGCUUUGUCACAGGACUUCCACAGAAAUAGGCAAGAC